rnacentral:rRNA from 1 species
GAUGAACGCUGGCGGCGUGCCUAAUACAUGCAAGUCGAGCGAACAGAUGAAGUGCUUGCACUUCUGACGUUAGCGGCGAACGGGUGAGUAACACGUAAGGAAUCUACCUAUAAGCGGGGGAUAACAUUCGGAAACGUGGGCUAAUACCCCAUAAUAUCUCCUUCCGCAGGGAAGAAGAUUGAAAGACGGCUCUGCAGUCACUUAUCGAUGACCUUGCGGUGCAUUAGUUAGUUGGUGGGGUAACGGCCUACCAAGACGAUGAUGCCUAGCUGACCUGAGAGGGUGAUCAGCCACAGUGGGACUGAGACACGGCCCAAACUCCUACGGGAGGCAGCAGUAGGGAAUCUUCCGCAAUGGGCGAAAGCCUGACGGAGCAAUGCCGCGUGAGUGAAGAAGGCCUUCGGGUCGUAAAACUCUGUUAUAAGAGAAGAACAAAUUGUAGAGUAACUGCUACAGUCUUGACGGUAUCUUAUCAGAAAGCCACGGCUAACUACGUGCCAGCCGCCGCGGUAA